rnacentral:lncRNA from 1 species
UCUUGAAUUGUACUGGGGCUAAGGUGCAUCAAAUCCGUUUCUGGCAGCACAACUUAUAUGAGGUGCUCCAUGGUAUAAAGAUAAAACUCUGCUGAUUAGAAACCGGGUGAUCAUUCUACACUGCUUCCUGGAGGAUUUGACUGGAAGAUUUCACCAUAAUAAAGGAGCAGGAUGCCAUCACUUCAGCAUGACUAUUCCUGCUACAGCAAGCUAACCAGUGUUUGCUAAGUGGAAAAGGACAAAAAUGAAUCCUGGAGAAGGGGAGACUUUCAGGCUUCUUAUCUGCAGACAACCCAGAGCUCUGUCACAGAGCUAACUUUGAGAGCCGAAUUUCCAGCUCAACUUUUUCAUGUAUUGCAAGGUCUGUUUACUU